rnacentral:rRNA from 1 species
GUGAUGACGAGGCACUACGGUGCUGAAGUAACAAAUGCCCUGCUUCCAGGAAAAGCCUCUAAGCAUCAGGUAACAUCAAAUCGUACCCCAAACCGACACAGGUGGUCAGGUAGAGAAUACCAAGGCGCUUGAGAGAACUCGGGUGAAGGAACUAGGCAAAAUGGUGCCGUAACUUCGGGAGAAGGCACGCUGGUGUGUAGGUGAAGUCCCUGCGGAUGGAGCUGAGACCAGUCGAAGAUACCAGCUGGCUGCAACUGUUUAUUAAAAACACAGCAC